rnacentral:misc_RNA from 1 species
UCUGCGUUUUGCGCAGCAGUCUCGCUAGAAAAAAGCAACUAGCGACGAGGGUUGCGCUCGUUGCGGGACUUAACCCAACAUCUCACGACACGAGCUGACGACAGCCAUGCAGCACCUGUGCAUCUCCCACCCGAAGUGAAGGAUUCCUUUUCGGGAAUCCAUAGAGAGCAUGUCAAAUCCUGGUAAGGUUCUUCGCGUUGCCUCGAAUUAAACCACAUGUUCCACCGCUUGUGCGGGUCCCCGUCAAUUUCUUUGAGUUUUAAUCUUGCGACCGUACUCCCCAGGCGGGGUGCUUAACGCGUUAGCUACGCUACUGAGAGGUAACCUCCCAACAGCUAGCACCCAUCGUUUACAGCGUGGACUAC